rnacentral:rRNA from 1 species
AGUGAUGAAGGCCUUCGGGUCGUAAAACUCUGUCCUCAAGGCAGAUAAUGACGGUACUUGAGGAGGAAGCCCCGGCUAACUACGUGCCAGCAGCCGCGGUAAUACGUAGGGGGCUAGCGUUAUCCGGAUUUACUGGGCGUAAAGGGUGCGUAGGCGGUCUUUCAAGUCAGGAGUGAAAGGCUACGGCUCAACCGUAGUAAGCUCUUGAAACUGGGAGACUUGAGUGCAGGAGAGGAGAGUGGAAUUCCUAGUGUA